GUCAGAGCCAUAUCUCCCUGCAGCUCUCGCUAGGUGUCGCACUGAAGCCUGGCCAGUACCUGGAUGGGAGACCUCCUGGAGAAAACUAAGGUCGCUGCUGAAA
rnacentral:rRNA from 1 species